rnacentral:rRNA from 1 species
GAUGAACGCUGGCGGCGUGCCUAAUACAUGCAAGUCGAGCGAACGGACGAGAAGCUUGCUUCUCUGAUGUUAGCGGCGGACGGGUGAGUAACACGUGGAUAACCUGCCUAUAAGACUGGGAUAACUUCGGGAAACCGGAGCUAAUACCGGAUAAUAUUUUGAACCGCAUGGUUCAAAAGUGAAAGACGGUCUUGCUGUCACUUAUAGAUGGAUCCGCGCUGCAUUAGCUAGUUGGUAAGGUAACGGCUUACCAAGGCAACGAUGCAUAGCCGACCUGAGAGGGUGAUCGGCCACACUGGAGCUGAGACACGGUCCAGACUCCUACGGGAGGCAGCAGUAGGGAAUCUUCCGCAAUGGGCGAAAGCCUGACGGAGCAACGCCGCGUGAGUGAUGAAGGUCUUCGGAUCGUAAAACUCUGUUAUUAGGGAAGAACAUAUGUGUAAGUAACUGUGCACAUCUUGACGGUACCUAAUCAGAAAGCCACGGCUAACUACGUG